rnacentral:rRNA from 1 species
UACGUAGGGAGCAAGCGUUGUCCGGAAUUACUGGGUGUAAAGGGUGCGUAGGCGGGUAUGCAAGUCAUAUGUGAAAUACCGGGGCUCAACUCCGGGGCUGCAUAAGAAACUGUAUAUCUUGAGUACAGGAGAGGUAAGCGGAAUUCCUAGUGUAGCGGUGAAAUGCGUAGAUAUUAGGAGGAACACCAGUGGCGAAGGCGGCUUACUGGACUGAAACUGACGCUGAGGCACGAAAGCGUGGGGAGCAAACAGG